ensembl:lncRNA
UUAAAAUGUUCUAACAAUGUCAUGACAUUUAGCCAGGACGUUUUCCACACCACUGACUGACACAGUGGUGGUCAGACUGUGCGCCGCACAGGGAAGAUGUUGAGCUGGAAGUGGCCUAGCAGCUACAAAAAUGUUCCGGUCACUAUCAGCCCUAAACUCUGCUGUAUGUCACGGCUGUUCAUUUUACUUUCAAUGCAAAAAUCUCUCUCUCGUCUUUAACUACCAUCUCGGUCUCUCCGAUCUAACUGACUGCAGCACACAGCGGUUUUGUGUCAGGGGUCAACAGCGUUAACGGUGUUUCCACUCUCCUGAUGACCCUCUGCCACGCCCACCUGCAGGGACACCAGAGAGGGUCGUCAAUACACAAAAUAAUCUCAUAGAUUAACGUGUUAACUUUGACAUCCCCACAAGGGUAUUACCCUUUACAAUCUUCCUCAUAAACUAAGGACAGUUUUAAAAAAAAGGUGUUGUUGCCAUCACAUUCUGUCAGGUUUUUCUUGUUGUUCCUUUUGAAUUUUUUCUGAAGAAGCGGUUAUAUGUUCCAGCCUCCCUACUGGCCAAUUCAGUUCUGUUUGUUUGACUUGAAUUGUUAUCCCUCUAGACGAGGAAAGGGCCCUUGCGGCCUUCGGGCAUUGGAACUGUCACACGUUUAGGGCUGCAUGUCAUUACAGCAAGCCACCUUCAUUGGACUACUUAAGUGAGGUCCUAUAAGAUGGAAGUCCUUUUCUGCCACCGACUUGACUCUUUUUCUACCUUUAGUCAUGCUGUUGUUGUUGGCAAUCUUUUACAUGGUCGACUGAUUUAUAUAUCGCUCUAUAUAGUGAUUGUGUGCACAUAAUCCCAUUCUCAGCACCAAGAUGGUGUUUCAUUAUUCCUUUAAAGUUUUAGAAUGUGGUUUGUCUCCAAUCUUUAAGAAUAGUUUCUCCUUCAGGGAUAUAUCUGUCUGCUGCCAUUCAAGAUCUCCCCUGUGGCAGGACGCACCACUCCCUCCUCCACUGUUUGUCAUUAAUGCGUUCAUUCUAUCGCUCUUCAGAGUGGCACAUCUUUCUCAAGGGAACCAUCUUUGAAUAAGCAAUGUUUACUGAUGUUGCGGCGAUAAACAGAAGGCUAACCUUCUGUUAAACUCCAGCAGUGGUACUCUGAUAAAACUGGCGGACAAAGCCUGAUAGGAAAGCACUGGAGGUGCCACAUGCACAACAUUUUCAAACCUUUGCUCUUAGGAGAUUGCAGGAUUCAGUGUACUGUGCAUGGAAAAAACUAAUUUCCACUGCUUGCUUCUCUACAUGUUUCCCAGAUGAGAAAGCUGUGGUUUCGUUUCUCCACAGUGGAUGAAAUCAAUAUGGAAUUUCUAUAUCUAUUUGGGACGCGUCGCUAUGUGGAAAUAUAAACGAUUAGUAACCGCAUCAAAUCUAAAUAUUUGUUCAGUCUAAAUCCAGUAAGUAUGUAUUUAUUUUCUACUGCAACCCCAAAACAGAGGAGACAACGUGGUUCUCUUGUCCAAAUCAGUUUAAAUUAAAAAAAAUUCAGUUCAAACAGCAACUUCCUGUUUCCAAGAGGUAGAAGAAGUACAUCAAUCUGUAGGUAUUUUCAGGGAAGGACUGUUAUGAAGCAUUAAAAGAACUUGAGCUAAUUAGACGAGAUACCUCCAAGUUCCAUAAACAGCUAUUACUCUAAUUACCUUUAAUGUUUCAAGAUUGUACUGACCAAAUUUGAUUUCAUCAAGAUUUUCUUUUACAGUACAGAACCUGGAAGAGGCGAAAGCUGUCUUCUAUUGCAGAUUCGAAAUAUGGCUGACUUCCUUUUGGGUUUAAGAUAUACUUUCAGCAGGCUUUCAUUGUAGUUUUUAGGGUAUAAAAAUCCUUUAUGGAUGACGUAUAAUCUUUAGUUUGAUAGAAGUGAGUGCUUUAGCCUUGGUAAAGCUUUCCUCUUUAUUCGUAGUGUGGGUCCAUUCCUCCAUACGUGAGUGUUGCCACGACCUUGCUACUACUGUUCAUUUGUCUGUGUUAGGUGCCUGUGUGUUUUGCGUGUACGUUACAUGUGUGAAUCCUCAGGUUCACUGCAUGGGCCGGCAUUUACAAGGCUCUUUUACCUGCAUACAAUGAGCUAACACUUUAUUAGUACCUCUACCUGCAAAAAUGUACACUGUACACAGUCAAUGUGUUCACUCCAUCAAUUAAAUUGGUCAAUGCUCCUGCUCCAUGGCAACCAGUAGAAUAAAAACUGUAGUCAAAUAAGGCGCAGUUGAGUGUAAAUACAUACCUUUGACAUUUGAGCCCUUCCCAGCAUGCCUGAUUGAUGGGAAAAAAGCCUUUCCCCGGAUACAGAAGAAAAGCUUUGUAGAGU